CAGUAGCCGCGGGAAUACAGAGGGUGCAAGCGUUAAUCGGAAUUACUGGGCGUAAAGCGCGCGUAGGUGGUUCGCCAAGUUGGAUGUGAAAUCCCCGGGCUCAACCUGGGAACUGCAUCCAAAACUGGCGAGCUAGAGUAUGGUAGAGGGUGGUGGAAUUUCCUGUGUAGCGGUGAAAUGCGUAGAUAUAGGAAGGAACAUCAGUGGCGAAGGCGACCACCUGGACUGAUACUGACACUGAGGUGCGAAAGCGUGGGGAGCAAACAGGAUUAGAUACCCCGUAGUCCCUGUCUCUUAUACA
rnacentral:rRNA from 1 species